CGUAACGGGGACAACAUUCCGAAAGGAGUGCUAAUACCGGAUGUGAUCAUCUUGCCGCAUGGCAGGAUGAAGAAAGAUGGCCUCUACAAGUAAGCUAUCGCUAAAGGAUGGGCCUGCGUCUGAUUAGCUAGUUGGUAGUGUAACGGACUACCAAGGCGAUGAUCAGUAGCCGGUCUGAGAGGAUGAACGGCCACAUUGGGACUGAGACACGGCCCAA
rnacentral:rRNA from 1 species